CCUCCGGAGCAGUCUUCCUGCCUCAGCCCCACAAAGUUCUGGGAUUACAGGUUUUACCCCCCAUUUCAGCUCAUUUGAGUGGUGAUGUUCUUUUGACUGCAUCAGCCUGAUUUCCAACUCCAACUCUGCUUUCUACAGCCCGUCCUUUCUCAAUCAAAGAUCCAUGCUCCGUGGGCUUCGUUUUCCCCUUCAGGUAUGCACAAGGGAUCCUGAAAGCCCAGAAGAGAAGGACACUGAGGAAGGCUUCCUGGAGGAGGGAAAGUAGUGGUGGAGGGGUCAGGAUAGGCUACUCAGUGACUGUGCCACUAGAAGUUUACUCCUUGGCCACUUCAAAGGACUCCCGUGAUUAGAAGACACAUCACUCAAUUGCAGAAGGAGAGAAGCGAUGAGCAUCAACCCCAAAGCCUUCUCAUGGAGGUUCAAAGUUGUGGAAACAUGUCAGACGGUGAGUUGCUUUGGCUGUGUCCCCACCCAAAUUUCACCUUGAAUAGUAA